GGAUGGGGUUUUCUCUGCUAGCGUUUUGACCCUAGCACCUUCACGCCGCCGUCGUCAUGCCCACCGUGAAGCCACCACGACCGGCGCUCGGCACCAGGUAAAGCGCUUUUUCCUUUUUAUUAUUUUUUCUUUUUCUUUUUAAAAGAAACAUGGAUAAAAACCAGAGAAGAAAACUCGAAGAGGGAAGAAAAAAACCAAAUCACCUUCAAAUUCUUUUUGCUUUUUAUUUUCUCAUAUCUUUGUAUUUUUGUUUACACUAAUUUCUUUCUCCCUUUUUGAUUCAAUCUGCCUCCCCUUUACAAAAAAAGAAAAACCCUUUUAUCACUUUGUCAUCUUUCUGUUAUGCUAACGUGCCUGCGGUUUGUGGUUUGUUGCUGGAAGAUUGUGCAUGGUCUGAGGGCGACGUGCUGCGAUGUUCGCGGAGGCGUGUGAGGGAGCCGUGCGGCGCGCCCUAAGGUUUCUUCCUCCUUUGCGGAAAACAUGUUGUGGGCCUAUUGGGCUAGGGUUUCUGCUGUUUAUGCUAAGUAUUUGGACCAUUUGUACUGGGUCAUUGGGUCUACAAUUUUGGGUUAAUGUAAUUUGGAUUUUUAAAAUUU
rnacentral:lncRNA from 1 species